UAAUAUCUUCGAUUAUUCAUGUAAGAACUACUUUCAGUUGGCGGUUGUAGCCAUUUUCGGCCAUUUCAGUGUAUAAUAUAACAUUUUGUAUCCAUUUCAAUCACUGGUUCAGGAAAAACAUCCACCAUGGCCGAUAGGGAGGAUAAUGUUUACCAAGCAAAACUGGCCGAGCAGGCAGAACGAUACGAUGACAUGGUGAAGGCUAUGACAAAAGUUGCUCAGAUGGGUAAUGAUUUGUCAGUGGAAGAGAGAAACCUGUUGUCAGUGGCAUACAAGAACGUGAUAGGAGCUCGUAGGGCGUCUUGGCGGAUAUUGAGUGCCUCUGAACAGAGAGUGCAGGAGAAGGGUGCUGCAAGCAAUGAGCUGGACAUGAUCGUGAAGUACAGACGUCAGAUUGAAAAGGAAUUGAAUGAUACAUGCCACGAUGUCCUUGAUUUGCUUGACAAGCACCUUAUUGGUUCUUCCACUGGAGAGUCUAAAGUGUUCUUCUGUAAAAUGAAGGGCGAUUACUACAGAUACUUGGCCGAGUUUUAUAUUGGAGAUGAACGAAAGAAGUUUGCAGAAAAUGCCCUGGUUGCAUACAAAGCUGCCAGUGACGUUGCUAUGAGCGACCUUGCACCCACCCAUCCCAUCAGAUUGGGUCUGGCCCUCAACUUCUCUGUUUUCUACUAUGAGAUCCUAAACUCACCUGACAGGGCAUGUAGACUCGCAAAAUCUGCAUUUGAUGAUGCCAUUGCAGAGUUAGACAACCUAAAUGAAGACAAUUACAAGGAUUCAACACUUAUCAUGCAGCUCUUGAGGGACAACCUGACACUCUGGACAUCUGACAUGGCACAAGAUGGUGAUGCAGAACAACCUAAAGAACAAGUGGAAGACAUAGAAGCAGAAGAUCAGUCAUAAAGGAUGUAGUGUUGCUGUGCAGUGUCAGUGACUAGUGAACACAGAUUCUGGCAGUGUUGUUGCAUAUACAAAUAAUAUUUUUAAUUUUCAAACAACUAGUGGCAGUUAAGCUAACAUUCCAAAUACCAAAGUGUUUGGUCCUUGGGCAUGUAACUUGUGUUUUCAUUCUUAGUUUGUUCCACAUUUGAAGGGUUAAGGUUUGUAUAACAAGAAUCACAAAGUUAGCAGAAACGUCAUUAUUCUUGUUAGCAGUGAUCUAAUUAAUAGUAUUAAAUAUGUGCCAGUCUUGUAUUGUGGAACAAUGUAUUUAUUUGUUAAGUAUUGUAUUUGUAAUUGCAUUCAUGUAAAACUGGCAGACACUUAAAUAAACAUGGUUAUAUUUAGUAAAAGGAAACAGCUGAUAAUAUUACUAACAUUUAAUAUUUUUGGGGACGUAUUUUUAGCAUAUUUAAGCAGGAAGUGCACAUACUAAACUUUUUUGGUCACCAUUUGUCUAGGGUCAUGUGUUGUCCACGUUUUGCCUGUUAUAGCACUAUAGGCCACUUUUUAUGCCCCCUUUCGAAGAAAAGGGGGCAUAUAGUGAUCGGACUGUCCAUCUGUCUGUCUGUCCAUCUUUCCGUCACACUUUGCGUUUAGGUUUCGAAAAAUGCUCAUAACUUCUAUGUCCCUUGAGAUAUAACCUUCAUAUUUGGUAUGCAUGUGUAUAUGGACAAGGCCUUUCCAUAUGCACACACAAUUUUACCCCUUUGACCUUGAACUUAGGGUCCGCAUUUAGGUUUCGAAAUCUGCGUUUAGGUUUAUAAAAAAGCUAAUAACUUCUAUCAAGCGUUUAUAGGGGGCAUAAGUCAUCCUAUGGUGACAGCUCUUGUUUUGGGAUGUAACUAAAAAGUGCUGGACGGAAAAACCGGGCUCUUGCUCAGAGUGAUCAUCUUAACUAUUUAUAGACCCAAGUUCAAAUCUGGGUCCUGUGCGUGCAGAAUCAUGCCACUAGGUCAAAUAUUGAAAAAAACAAACAUGUUUUCACUAGCAGGGGAGACCUCAUAUCUGGCUUACUUGUCAAAAGCUUUUUAUGGCUUUAUUCCUUGUCAAAUAUGAUGUAAAACCAUCUCAGUGAUUUGAAAUGUAAAAUGCGAUUUAUAAUUUGUAAGGCACUAAUUUGUAGUGUUCUCAAGCUAAAAAAACAACAAAAUUUCCAGACGGUGAAAAUGGUGCAUUUUUUCCCAAUCGAAAAGAGCCUGGGUCUCAUUUCAAAUUAAAAAAAUAACUGCUUGGCAGAGUGUGACUCAAGGUAAUGUUUACAAAAACAAAGUCACUGGGUCAGAUUAUGACUAAAAUGUAUCACCAACUCAGGUUUGUGUUUAAAGGCUAUCAUCAGGGCUUUCUUCUUGGUAAAAAUGAAUCGUUUUAAUAGUUUUGAAAUAAUGAUGUUAGGUUUUUCUUCAAAGUCUUUUGUUGAACAAUGCUGAAACAAAGAGGCGUUCAAUAAACCUAAAUGCACUGAAAUACUGGGCUGUAUAUUUUUAUACAUUCUAAUAUUGGAGUUUUCUGCAGUGUGGCUUGUGGUCAACAUCAAAUAUAAUUACUAUUUAAGACAGAAUCUCAGUACCUGUAUUGUGUAGAUUUACAUUGGCAAUAUUUAAUAGUAUUCAUAUAUUAAUACAAGAUUAACAACA